rnacentral:lncRNA from 1 species
CAGCUCCAGCUCCAACGCCACGGCCAACAGCACUUAGAGCUCCUGCUCCACAGCCAUUUAGGCCCCCAGCACCUCAGCCUCGGCCAACUGUUCGACCACCACCACCUGCUGUCACAUCUCCUCCUCCACCUACUAGAGCAUUGUUCCCUGGCAUUACUACUAUUACUGCUGCAAGAUCUCCAACAACAUCGACUGCCCCUCCCUCUCCAGCGAAAUCAAUACCUGCAAUAACAUCUGUCCCUUCUUCUCCUGCAGCAACUUCCACAUUUCUCCCAAUCACAUCCUCUUCUUUCACCUUAAGGAGCCCUGAAACCAAGACCUCUGCUCCACCUUCCUCUUCAUUGACAACUUCUCCAUUCCCAAAACCAGUACCAUCACCACCUAAAACUGCUGCGCCUACAACUCCC